AUACUUACCUGGCAGGGGAGAUGGGGUACUCAUGAUCAUGAAGGGAAGCCACCCAGGCGCAGGCUCAGCCAUUGCACUUCGGCGCUGACCCGUGAAUUCCCAAAUGUGAACUGACCGCAUAAUUUGUAUGAAGUGUAGUAAUCGCGCCCGCGCUCUCCCCUG